UCUGACGGGAAGCCUUGUGGAUUUAAAAUAUCAGGGAAAAAUACCACAAACCUUCAAUAAUUCAACAAGUGUAUUUUCACAUCUGCAACCGCUUCCUCC